UUUUCGGGGGGAAGGCAACCUGCCGCGGCCCUCGGAAGUCCCCAUCGGUGUCCUCCCUCUGUCGCCCGCUCGCCGAAGAGCUGUCGCUGCUCUUCCCUCGAUUUCUUUCGAUGGGGGGCCUUUUCCACGGACGCCCCUGCGCUCGCCGCCGCCGCCGCCGCCCCUCCCGCCUCGGAGACUCUCUUCCUUCCUUCCCCUUCUCCUUACGCAAUAUACAGAAAUGCGCGAGGCGGUGGUUGGUUUUCAUUUCUUCUUGGUGGUUGUAUGCAUGCGGUGGGAUGGGGAGAGUGCGUGUGUGCGCUGUGGGCAGGGUCGACUUCUUCCGAGUGUGGUCUUCUCGGUGAUAGGUUGUGUGUCCAAGUAUGCUCGUGUCUGCGCUGGUUGGCCAGGCUGCUCAGGACUCCGCGCUGUGGCUGCAGCUCCAGCCCGACUCGGAUUCCGGGCCAAAGGCAUAGACAAACCGCCCAGGACCACACCGCGGCCUAACUGUCGGUCUCUCGGUGAGAGAGGGGGGGAAGGCAGAGACCCCUGUGCACUCCCGGACCUCGGCUCCCGCCCCUCUCCCGUGGAAGGAGUGGAGAUCCUAUUCAGAGGGGCCGGUCUCUCUAAAUAUGCCCCAGGUGAGUUUCUGGCGAACGGCAGCGGUGGUGGUGGCGGUGGCGGUGAAAACAGUGACCAGGAAGGCCUUGGGGUCUGGCCUGGGGUGGAGAAAGCUCAGGAUGGAGGACAGGCCGGUUUCAGAUUGGGGAGGGGGAGGGGGGACAAACCCAGAGCCAGGAAUCCAGAAUCGGACUCUGCCGCUCGCUGACUGUGGCCUCUGUGCUGCUGUGGCUUCCAGCCGACCUCUUUCUUUUUUUGAUCCUAUGUGAAAAACAGCUAGUUGGCCUUAGUCCCUCAGGCUGCUCCUGUCUGUCCCGGUUCUGUGCACGUUUUACCAGGCUCAUAACUUCGGGACGGCUAUAUCCGGGUAGUGCAGGCUGAGUGCCCGGGCUCUGGCAGGAAGAAGGCCGCAGCCGUCCUGGCUAGCGCACUUCCAACUCGGGUGGGCCCUGACUGGGGCCUAAGGCCUAGAGCAGGGCCGCGCUGGAACCACCGCUCCACUCCAGGAGCAGCUGGAGAGUGGUUCUGUUCACUGGUGAUUUGGGCUCGCCUGGAGGUCAUGCGGGUGUGGAGGCCAUCCGAGGCAUGGAGGCCAGGCUGGGGCAUGGGGAGACGGGGUGGCCUGUUUCCACAUAAAAGAUUUUUCCAGCUGGGAAAUCAGGUGCCUUCUCCCGCCCUACCGCCCAGGAGCCCAGGGGUUCCCCCUGUUUUGUUCGGGCACCCAUGGAAAUGAUCUGGCAACAGGAGAGGAGGAGCGGGUCUAGGGGGCUUCAAGGUGGUUCUUGGCCACACAAAGAGUUGAAUAGUGAGUCUAGCGCUGUUCAGUUCGGAAUCUUCUCCUCGCCCUACAAAUAAACAAAAACCACUCGGGCUUUCCUCGCAGUAUUCUUAAGGAAAGCCAAGCGAUGAGGUUUAGUCGCUGACCACUGAAAGCCCUUGUGAAUUCUCGGGAGGCUUCCUUCUGAGCCGGGACCCCUGGCUUGGGUGAUCCUGGUUGUAGAAGAACCAGCCGGGUUUUCCUGAGGUCCCAGGAGGGGUGGGAAGAGGUUGGCCAGAGACCCUGGGGACCAAUCAUAGGUUUCCUACCAGGAGCUUCAGAGAUAUAGAUAUUUCGAGGUGUCUGGAGAGAGCAUUUGGGGCCAGAAUCAACUCAUCUGUUAGACUUGCUCCCCUUGCCCCUGUGGGAUCCGCUCCUACUCAGACCUGCAGACUUAAUCAGAAGGUAUAAAUGUGUCAUAGAGGAGAGCUUGCGCUCACUCUGUCGAUUGCAAGAUGAACCAUUUGUCACUUGGUUAGACUGGGGCUGAAGCACAUGUCACUGGGCACCCAGGGGUGCCUGGGGACAGUAAGGUAGGGAGCCAGCCCCUUGGGAUCGUAUAUUUCACCAGAGGAUGGUGUAUUUCUGGUGCAUUUCACUAUUGCAGGUGAGGCAGUCUCCAACAGUAUACCUCUGGUGCAUUUGUAGUGGCUGCAGUGUCUUGUCGGUCCCAUCCUGUGGAUGCAGAUCUAUUGUUUCUGCAUAAACUCACUGCCAGUGAAGUGUUGCCGACCCACUGCCUUUGCCGCGUGGGUACGCCAGGUCUGGGAGAAUUUUGUCAUUUCCAGGCAGAGCCCAGGGCACUGGCAGGCCCAGCGCAGGAGUGUAAUCUGAAUGUCGAUUCUCCGUCAGAAUCUCUGCCUGGUGGCAGCUAAGAGGAGCUCUGGAGGAGGUUUCAGAAGGUCCAGUCUCUCCUCUUGGGGGGAAGGAUGGUUCCCAGGCUGACUCUGGUCCAAAGCAGUGCAGUGGCAGAAUGGCUGCCAGGAGUCAUUAGAUGGACUUUGCUUGGGGCUGAGUUGGCUUCUUGUGUAUUUGUUUUCUGCGACAAAAUACCGUGAUUAUAUAAUUCUGACCGCAGAAACUUUAUUUUUAACAUCUUACGAAGCCUGUCAAAUUGACUAUCUUUUUAUUGUUUUAUUAAAACAACUCACUAGAAUUGCCACACUCUGGAUCCAGAGUCGCAUCGUUUUUCUGCUUUCAUUCUUGAGAGAGGAGCGGGGCUGGCUCCGCCAGCACCAAAGCAGGACUAUGGAAGCCCUAGGAGGAGCAGGAGAGGGGAGUGGAGCCUCUGCCUGCGGUCACCCUGGAGUGUGGUUGUGGAGGAGAGGCGUGUCCUUGGCUGGGGGUGGGGGGUAAUAUAUGAGAAGGCGUGCAGGGAAGGAUAGCAAAGAGAGACUGGAGUUCUGGUCCCAGUCUGUGGCAGACAGCCGACCGUGCAUCCCCUUGCUGGCCCAGUCUCCCCGUCAGUCAUAAUGUUUACUUGAGCAUUUGCGCAACGCUUUUAGAUGCAUAAAUGAGGCAUUCCUCCUGUUUCCCAGAGGACAACACCCCAGGCGGGAGAGAGGGGUGGGGGUGUGCUGGAGCUCAGGGGCCUUCAUGACACCCCUUGCCCCCACACUCCGGGAUGGGAGCCCAGACCCCAGUGGCUUCAGGAGCACCCUGCGAAUGUCCCCGCUCCACACACCCCUGCUAGACCCCACCUCACUUCUGAGUCGCGUGGAGCAGGAGUGUGCAGGGAGGUAGUGGCGGUAGUUUCUUCCCUUCCUGAUGUCCCAUCUCCAGUCCCAGUGGGAGAAAAGGGCCAUUGGGGUUUCUGGGGGCUGCAGAGAAUACAGGUGGAUUAGCCCAGUAGGACAGACACCCCCACGGGGUGGGGGUGAAUUUGUGUUGAAAAGUGGGCUGGUUCCUCCGGGUAAUUCUCUGCCAGUUCUGAUCUCUCUUGUACCCUCACCCAGCCUCUGGGUGUAUGUGGGUGGCAGGAGGCUGGGGGCAGGUAUUGCUGAAAAGCAAGGGAGGUUCAAAAAGCACCCCACCUCCGUGCGACAGGUUCCCCGCCAAAACCAAAAGGGGGGCGGGAAGAACACGGCCGGGGCAUGUGUUCCCUCCUCUUCCCUUGCGGCCUGAGACGGGCACCGGCACCGGCUGAUAUUUCUUUCUUGCCUCUUUCUCCAUUUCCUUCCUCCUUUUUCCUCCUCGGUUUUUCUUUCGCUGGCUGUAUUCCUUUUCUUCCAGUAGCUCUGUUGUCCUUCUCCACCUCCGUGCUUUCGGCCCUCAGUCUGUCCGGAGGCCCCCUUCCCCUCCCGCCCCAGCCCCUCGGGUGAGUGUGUGUCCACGUGGCGCCGAGUCUGUCCGCCUCUGCCCACGCCUCUUCCCCACGUA
ensembl:lncRNA